GAAGGCGAUCAGAUACCGCCCUAGUUCUGACCGUAAACGAUGCCACCUGACGAUCCGCCAGGGUUACUACCAUGACUCGGCGGGCAGUCCCCGGGAAACCCAAGCCUUCGGGUUCCAGGGGAAGUAUGGUUGCAAAGCUGAAACUUAAAGGAAUUGACGGAAGGGCACCACCAGGAGUGGAGCCUGCGGCUUAAUUUGACUCAACACGGGGAACCUCACCCGGCCCGGACACCGCGAGGAUUGACAGAUUGAGAGCUCUUUCUCGAUUCGGUGGGUGGUGGUGCAUGGCCGUUCUUAGUUGGUGGAGCGAUUUGUCUGGUUAAUUCCGAUAACGAACGAGACUACUGGUUAAGUAGCCCGAGCGGUUUUUGAUCUUUGCCGUCCAUCCUCGUGCCGACCUUCCGCGCUU
rnacentral:rRNA from 1 species